CGGGCGCGGGCUGCCGGUGGGUGACCUCGGCUGCGGGCCGGGGGAGGCGACGGAGCUGCUCGCCGGGCUCGGCGUCCGCGCGUUCGGCC
rnacentral:tRNA from 1 species